rnacentral:rRNA from 1 species
AGAGUUUGAUCCUGGCUCAGAUUGAACGCUGGCGGCAUGCUUUACACAUGCAAGUCGGACGGCAGCGGGGUAGUGCUUGCACUACUGCCGGCGAGUGGCGAACGGGUGAGUAAUAUAUUGGAACGUACCGAGUAAUGGGGGAUAACCAAUCGAAAGAUUGGCUAAUACCGCAUACGCUCUGAGGAGGAAAGCAGGGGACCUUCGGGCCUUGCGUUAUUCGAGCGGCCAAUAUCUGAUUAGCUAGUUGGUGGGGUAAAGGCCUACCAAGGCGACGAUCAGUAGCGGGUCUGAGAGGAUGAUCCGCCACACUGGGACUGAGACACGGCCCAGACUCCUACGGGAGGCAGCAGUGGGGAAUUUUGGACAAUGGGCGCAAGCCUGAUCCAGCCAUGCCGCGUGUCUGAAGAAGGCCUUCGGGUUGUAAAGGACUUUUGUCAGGGAAGAAAAGGCUGUUGCUAAUAUCGACAGUUGAUGACGGUACCUGAAGAAUAAGCACCGGCUAACUACGUGCCAGCAGCCGCGGUAAUACGUAGGGUGCGAGCGUUAAUCGGAAUUACUGGGCGUAAAGCGAGCGCAGACGGUUACUUAAGCAGGAUGUGAAAUCCCCGGGCUCAACCUGGGAACUGCGUUCUGAACUGGGUGACUAGAGUGUGUCAGAGGGAGGUAGAAUUCCACGUGUAGCAGUGAAAUGCGUAGAGAUGUGGAGGAAUACCGAUGGCGAAGGCAGCCUCCUGGGAUAACACUGACGUUCAUGCUCGAAAGCGUGGGUAGCAAACAGGAUUAGAUACCCUGGUAGUCCACGCCCUAAACGAUGUCAAUUAGCUGUUGGGCAACUUGAUUGCUUAGUAGCGUAGCUAACGCGUGAAAUUGACCGCCUGGGGAGUACGGUCGCAAGAUUAAAACUCAAAGGAAUUGACGGGGACC